rnacentral:rRNA from 1 species
GGGUAGCCGGCCUGAGAGGGCGACCGGUCACACUGGGACUGAGACACGGCCCAGACUCCUACGGGAGGCAGCAGUGGGGAAUAUUGCGCAAUGGGCGGAAGCCUGACGCAGCGACGCCGCGUGGGGGAUGACGGCCUUCGGGUUGUAAACCUCUUUCAGCAGGGACGAAGCUAACGGGACGGUACCUGCAGAAGAAGCGCCGGCUAACUACGUGCCAGCAGCCGCGGUAAUACGUAGGGCGCAAGCGUUGUCCGGAAUUAUUGGGCGUAAAGAGCUCGUAGGCGGUUUGUCGCGUCUGUCGUGAAAGCCCACGGCUUAACCGUGGGUCUGCGGUGGAUACGGGCAGACUAGAGGCAGGUAGGGGAGAAUGGAAUUCCCGGUGUAGCGGUGAAAUGCGCAGAUAUCGGGAGGAACACCGGUGGCGAAGGCGGUUCUCUGGGCCUGUACUGACGCUGAGGAGCGAAAGCGUGGGGAGCGAACAGGAUUAGAUACCCUGGUAGUCCACGCCGUAAACGUUGGGCGCUAGGUGUGGGGUUCUUCCACGGAUUCCGCGCCGUAGCUAACGCAUUAAGCGCCCCGCCUGGGGAGUACGGCCGCAAGGCUAAAACUCAAAGGAAUUGACGGGAGCCCGCACAAGCGGCGGAGCAUGUUGCUUAAUUCGACGCAACGCGAAGAACCUUACCAAGGCUUGACAUCGCCGGAAAACUCGCAGAGAUGCGGGGUCCUUUUUGGGCCGGUGACAGGUGGUGC